rnacentral:rRNA from 1 species
AUGGUGCAGCCCCCGUGUGCAUCGCGAUGGUGCCCGUCACCUGUUCGAUGGAGUGCUCGACCCAGGUCCACACCAUCGAAAACACCGGCGAGGUCCAUGAUGCUGCCACCACCGUCCACCCCGAGCCCACGGCCGACCCCAUCCUCCAAGCAGUCGAGCAGCUCGCUCCAGUGCAGGCAACAGCCCCCAUCGGCACCAACACUACCUCUAGUGCCAAGGUCGUUCCUCCCGCUGACGACCACCACCGACGCCGACCCCAAGGCCGGCGAGCAGGAGCUCAAUGCUCUCUCUGUCAACACCUACACCCAUGUGUUGAGCAAGGUGGACCACUGUGUCGUCUUCAUCAUCCCCAGCGACUUCUCUGCGUCGAUGUGGACCAUGUGUUCGACGGAAUACCCUCGUUACGACACCAUCCUACUGAGGUAUGUGCUCCACGCAGCGGUGACACCCUCAUGGCUGGUGUUACGACCGAAGCCAUGGCCAUCGUUUUGGAGAGAUCAUGCAGUUGGAAACGAGAAACGACUGUGGCCAUCAUUAGCUUGCUCUCGUGAACUGUAUCGGAAGCAUGUUGGAUUGCUGUCACAAGAUACUUUUGUGACGAAGGAUUGUUCUGCUGUUAUGAAUACAUUGAGAGAAUCCUGGAAAUAUUUGCACAGUAUGCAACUGAAAUGUGAGCUCCAGGAUGAAUACUAUUCUACUAUUGACAAUUUGGCUUCACUGGGGACUAUGAUUGUUAAUACUGUUUGUGCACUGGAACCUCUUGAGCAUCAGUUUACAGUUAUUCUUGAGCAGGGGCACUGGAAUUUUUCUGAACGUGUUGUUGUAGGUAGUUUUCCUAGGACUGAAAAAAGGCCAAGAGAAAUUCCUCUUCCGAGUCAGCCGAUAGCUCAAAUUCUGAAUUAUCUCUACCUGGGUGUUGUGCAAGGGCGAUAUCCUAUUGUUUUUGUGCAGUUCCCUUGUAAAUUUCAUGCUCAACAUGCACAAAGGAUGUUCAGGGCCAGUCAACAAAAUUUUCGUUUGAAACUUCCAAGGCCAUCUUGUUCUUGCAAUUGUCGAGCAAUACAGGUGCAGUCAGAACUACCCAAUGGUGAGCUCCCCAACGACUGCUAUUAUCGUGUUGACAAAUUUUGUUCACAUGAGCAUCAGUUUCUAGCUGUCCCUGGGCAUUUCAGUAAGUUGUUUGGCACCUUAAGGCUUGAAGAAUGGUGGAGUGCUAGUGAUCUUGUCUAUAGAACCCAGAUUAUGAGCAUGUCAGUGCAUUGCAAGGUGAUAUCGGAUGCUGCGGUUGUGCCACAUGUUAAUCUAUCUCGACACAGUUGUCUUCCUGAUAGCUGUUGCAACACAACUACCUCUCUGGCUGCACACAUGACAUUGCACGGAUUUGGUGAUUCAUCCCGUUUCCCGGGUGGCAUUAGUAUCCUUGAUCUGCAUAGUAAUAUCGUUAUAUGGUGUCGUGCUGUUGUGGAUUUGGGUAACCAAUUUAUGCCAUCAACCAUUCAUUUUUGGGGCGAUCAUUUGGAUGGCAUUGAUCUUACUGCAUAUCUGAAUUCAUGGGCGACUAGUACAUCUUGGCAUUGCAAUCAAUGGCGAUCAAUUCUUGCAUUUGAGAGGUUCUGGGCUCAUGGAAUUGAAGGAGAUGUACUUGGGCAAAUGUGUUAUGAACGACUUCAAUGGGCACAGAUGACCCUGGCAUGUGCACCUCAGAUCAGGUUGGCAGCUUGGGCCCAGAUUUUGAAUGAGCCACAAGUGUUUGAGUGUGCGAGUCUGGUUGCUUCUAAUUUCCUUCAAAGAGAUUCUUCUUGUUGUUGCUUCUUCCUGGCAACCUGUGCUCCCUGUAUUCGUGCCCAACCUCAGGCACGUUUUAGUGCAUCAUCAGGUGUUCUUAUCAGCCAACUUGUUCAGCAACAGCACCAUAACUCUAGCGUUGUGAGUAUACUCGAUCUCCUGCUGCACAUACCACAUCAGACUUGUUGUCCUACAUUUACUCCUGGUGAUAUUUGCAUGGAGAAAUAUUCGCAAAAUAUUGUUAUGCGGCCUUGUAAUCUUCUGCUGGACCGAUGCCUUAAGUCCCACGUGGUUCAUAGAGAAACCGAUUCAAAAAUGCUACAAUCAUCACGUAUUCACUGUGUACAACCAGAAUGUUACUUUGAGGUUGGCCUAGCUCAAGAAAAUUUGCAGCUGAAUGAAGUCAGUACUGUUGUUGUCGACUGGGAGAUACUUCUCUGUUGCAAGCAUCCACCUGAUCCAAUUGCCCCGUUCCUGCAUGAGCCACAACUUCUUGGGUGUACCAGUUCAAUUGCUACUGAUUUUAUUUGGCGAGUUCCUUAUGACUAUUGCCCCUAUUAUGUGCUUCAGUCUGGCUAUAUGCCCACCGUGGUGUGUGAAGCUAUACCAUAUAAACUGGCGACAUUUCUGCAUCCUGUGUUGGACAUCUUCCAGCUGCAACCAGAGGACCACAACAAUAGGCGCCACCUGCUUCUGGCUCUGAAACAAUGGCAGCUCAGUGAUUAUGAACAUCCAUGGCAGUAUGUAGUGUUUGGGCUGCUAUAUCAAGUAAUCUGCUGCGACAAGGCCAGUCCUUAUGGUGGGAAUUUGGAAAAUCUAAGACUGCUUGCUGCUCGGACCGUACAGUUUGCAACGGAGCUAAUGGAUUCUCCUGAUACUACUGCUACUAUUGACAAUCACCUUGAGCAAUUGUGGGAUCCUGGAGGCCUUGCGAGCUAUAUAUGCAGUACAUGUGCAUUGACUUCCCUGAUGCAUUACUUGUUUGAAGUCUGGCUUGCAUAUGCGACUCCUAUAUGCAUCCAGUUGAGAAUGGAGAAGCCAAUGGCCAGUGGCGAACUAAAUUAG